GCAUAUCAAUAAGCGGAGGAAAAGAAACUAACAAGGAUUCCCCUAGUAACGGCGAGUGAAGAGGGAAGAGCCCAAGAUUGAAAGCUGGCGCCUUCGGCGUCCGCAUUGUAAUCUCAAGAAGUGUUUUCCGCUUCGGACCAUGCCUAAGUCCCUUGGAAAAGGGCAUCAUAGAGGGUGAUAAUCCCGUACAUGGCAUGGAGCGCCCGAAGCUUUGUGAUACGCUUUCUAAGAGUCGAGUUGUUUGGGAAUGCAGCUCAAAAUGGGUGGUAAAUGCCAUCUAAGGCUAAAUAUUGGGGAGAGACCGAUAGCGAACAAGUACAGUGAUGGAAAGAUGAAAAGAACUUUGAAAAGAGAGUUAAACAGUACGUGAAAUUGCCAAAAGGGAAGGGUAGGAGGUCAGAGAUGCGUCGCAGGAUUCAGCCUUGCUUUUGCUUGGUGUUUUUCCUGCGUUGCAGGCCAACGUCGGUUUUGGGCACUGGAGAAGGGUAGGAGGAACGUGGCACCUCUCGGGGUGUGUUAUAGCCUCCUACUGGAUACAGCGACCGAGACCGAGGAACGCAGCGUACUCGUAAGAGCGGGCCUUUUGGCACCUUUACGCUUAGGGCGUUGGCAUAAUGGCCCUCUACCACCCGUCUUGAAACGGACC
rnacentral:rRNA from 1 species